UACAGAGGGUGCGAGCGUUAAUCGGAAUUACUGGGCGUAAAGGGCGCGUAGGCGGUUAAAUAAGUUAGAUGUGAAAUCCCUGGGCUUAACCUAGGACUGGCAUUUAAGACUGUUUGACUGGAGUAGAGUAGAGGGUAGUGGAAUUUCCGGUGUAGCGGUGAAAUGCGUAGAUAUCGGAAAGAACAUCAGUGGCGAAGGCGGCUACCUGGACUUAUACUGACGCUGAGGCGCGAAAGCAUGGGGAGCAAACAGG
rnacentral:rRNA from 1 species